AUUCCAUGAGGUGGGCAUUUUCUCAGCAUUUCCUUGUAACUUUCCCAAGCAUCCUACAAAGAUUCACAGCCUAGUUAUGUAAAAGAGGGGAUGCCAUUACUCAACU